AUGGGGCACGGGGUGAGCUGCGCGCGCACCGGCGACGAGCACGACUUCUUCCGCGCGGCGCAGCUCGGGGACCUCGACGCCCUGGGCGCGCUCCUCGCCGCCGACGCCUCCCUCGCCCGCCGCGCCACCCUCUACGACCGCCUCUCCCCGCUCCACAUCGCCGCCGCCAAUGGCCGCCUCGAGGUCCGUCCGUCGAGCGUCCGACGGCAGCUCCCCCCCACCAGCCGCAGCCAUGGAUCAUUGGAUCCCCUUGAAUUUCUACUGUUCUCUGAGCUUUCUUCCUCCUCGCAGGCGCUCUCCAUGUUCCUGGAUCGCGGGGCGCAGCCGGACGCCGUGGAUCGGCACAAGCAGACCCCCCUGAUGCUCGCCGCCAUGCACGGCAAGAUCGGCUGCGUGCUCAAGCUCCUCCAGGCCGGCGCAAACAUCUUGAUGUUCGACUCGGUGCACGCGCGGACCUGCCUCCACCACGCGGCCUACUACGGCCACGUCGACUGCCUGGACGCCAUCCUCUCCACGGCGCGGACCACGCCGGUGGCCGGCUCAUGGGGGUUCGCCCGGUUCGUCAACGUCAGGGACGACCACGGCGCCACGCCGCUGCACCUCGCCGCCAGGCAGGGCCGGCCGGGCUGCGUGCAGGUGCUGCUGGAGAACGGCGCCAUCGUGUCGGCAUUGACCGGAUCAUACGGCUUCCCUGGUAGCACGUCGCUGCAUUUGGCCGCUCGCAGCGGGGACUUGGAUUGCAUCCGGAAGCUGCUUGCCUGGGGAGCUGAUCGGCUCCAAAGGGACUCUGCCGGGAGAAUCCCCUAUGUGGUGGCACAUAAGCGCAACCACGGGGCAUGCGCGGCAUUGCUGAACCCUUCGUCGGCAGAGCCUAUGGUGUGGCCUUCCCCGCUCAAGUUCAUCAGCGAGCUCGACCCGGAAGCCAAGGCUCUGCUGGAAGCGGCCCUGAUGGAAGCCAACAGGGAGAGGGAGAAGAAGAUCCUGAAGGACGCAAAGUGCUCGCCGCAGUCCCCUUUGGUGUACGAUGAUGAUCACAUCGACGACGACAUGUUCUCGGAGGUGAGCGACACGGAGCUGUGCUGCAUCUGCUUCGACCAGGCGUGCACCAUCGAGGUGCAGGACUGCGGGCACCAGAUGUGCGCGCCCUGCACGCUGGCGCUGUGCUGCCACAACAAGCCCAACCCGGCGACCCUGACAAUGCCCUCGCCGGCCUGCCCGUUCUGCCGCGGCAGCAUCUCACGGCUGGUGGUGGCCCGUGCACAGACAGCAGACGGCGGCGACCCCGACAGGCCAGCCUCCCCGCAGCUCGCGCACCGGCGGUCCCGGCGCUCCCACAACCUCAGUGAGGGCAGCAGCAGCUUCAAGGGGCUGUCCUCGGCCAUCUCCAAGAUCGCCCGCGGCUCGAGCCGGAUGGCCGAGAGCGACAGCGCUGCCAUGGACAAGCCCGAGCACGAUCCGUGA
rnacentral:rRNA from 1 species